rnacentral:rRNA from 1 species
UACGUAGGGUGCAAGCGUUGUCCGGAAUUAUUGAGCGUAAAGAGCUCGUAGGCGGUUUGUCGCGUCUGCUGUGAAAACUCGGGGCUUAACUCCGGGCCUGCAGUGGGUACGGGCAGACUAGAGUGCGGUAGGGGAGACUGGAAUUCCUGGUGUAGCGGUGAAAUGCGCAGAUAUCAGGAGGAACACCGGUGGCGAAGGCGGGUCUCUGGGCAGUAACUGACGCUGAGGAGCGAAAGCGUGGGGAGCGAACAGG